CACCGACACCGGCACCGGCACCGGCCCCGCCGCAGGCGCCCGCCGGGAGGGGCUGCGGCGGCGCCGGGGGGCACCGGGCGGCUCGGUACGGCGCGGGGCUAGGCCGGGCGGUUCGGGAUGGUACCGUACAGUAACGGUGCGGUACGGUGGGGCACGGCACGGCACGGCGCGGUGAGCUCGGUACAGUCUGGCAUGGCACGCUGGAGACUGUGUCCUCUGGUUCUGUCAGUGCUGCCCGGUGGAAGAGACCGACCCCACCUGUCUGCAACCUCCCUUCAGGAAGGUGUAGAGAGCAAUAAGGUCACCUCUGAGUGUCCUCUUCUCCAGGCUGAACACCCCCAGCUCCUUCAGCUGUUUCUCUCAGGGUUUGUGUUCCCAGCCCCUCUCCAGCCUCAUUGCCUCCUCUGGAUGCGCUCAAGCGUCUCAACAUCCUUCCCAAGCUGAGGGCCCAGAACCGGACCCAGUGAGAGGUUUGGAUGCCCGGUUUACCCGGAAUCAGCCGCUUUGGAGCCGGGAACAAAGCCGUGCUGCCCAUGGGAGCAGGGCCGUGCCGAGCCGUGCCGUGCUGUGCCAGCUUUCCAGCGCCUCCGGACGCAGCCGGGGCGGCACCGUCGGGGAUGGGAGCGGGAGGACGUGCGGCGUUUGAAGGAAAAGCCACCCUGCAGGAUUCAUGGGAAGGCAUUUGCAUGAUAAAGCAGGGAGCCCUUUGCUUUGGGUAAAUCUGUAAUUAAUACUGAAUCGUUGUGUAAUUAAAAGCUACCGGCAUGGAAAACUCAAACAGAA